UACGUAGGGUGCAAGCGUUGUCCGGAAUUAUUGGGCGUAAAGAGCGUGUAGGCGGCCCCGUUAGUCCGCUGUGAAAGUCCAGGGCUCAACCCUGGAAUGCCGGUGGAUGCUGCGGGGCUAGAGUCCGGAAGGGGCGAGUGGAAUUCCUGGUGUAGCGGUGAAAUGCGCAGAUAUCAGGAGGAACACCAAUGGCGAAGGCAGCUCGCUGGGACGUGACUGACGCUGAGACGCGAAAGCGUGGGGAGCAAACAGG
rnacentral:rRNA from 1 species